rnacentral:sRNA from 1 species
CACUGUCUCUAGUUUGAAUCUUGAAAUCUUGAAUUUUUAUAUGUAUUUACAGAUAUAUUGUGCUGCAACAAAUCCCUAACUAAUUUUAAUCUUUGGUCCUCUUCCACACAUUAUGCUAUCAUAUUUAUACUGCUUUUCCAUCUCUCUGCAGCGAUUGGACUGCUCCUUGCUUUUUCAUCCAUCUCGAUAUAGUUCCCAAGUGGAUCAAACCUGUGAGAGGGAAGAUUUAGCAUUGCACAGCUGAAUCAACAAGCGUGUUGAAACUCAUGUCUCUACAAAUGGUUUCUUAUUGGCUAGCUUUUUAAUCAGGC